UACAGAGGUCUCAAGCGUUGUUCGGAUUCAUUGGGCGUAAAGGGUGCGUAGGUGGCGCGCUAAGUCAGGUGUGAAAUUUCGGAGCUUAACUCCGAAACUGCAUUUGAUACUGGCGUGCUUGAGGACUGGAGAGGAGACUGGAAUUCACGGUGUGGCAGUGAAAUGCGUAGAGAUCGUGAGGAAGACCAGUGGCGAAGGCGGGGUCUCUGGGACAGUUCCUGACACUGAGGCACGAAGGCCAGGGGAGCAAACGGGG
rnacentral:rRNA from 1 species